rnacentral:tRNA from 1 species
AAAAAGGUAAGCUAAAUAAGCUUCUGGGUUCAUACCCCAUCAAUAAAGGUUUUACUCCUUUCCUUUUUA